rnacentral:tRNA from 1 species
GGAGAGGUGGCCGAGUGGUUGAUGGCGCACGCUUGGAAAGCGUGUUAGGUGUUAAAGCCUACGAGGGUUCGAAUCCCUCCCUCUCCG